UGCUCCUUUUUGUUCUUUUUAGGAGCCGCCUUUUGCUUUUGCUUUGGCUCCGCUUUUGUUUUGAUAUUUUUGAUAAGUUUUUUAGAAGUUGGGGCUAGAUCUCAACUUCCCUGAUGCCUUGGGGAUUUGGCCCUUAGCGGAUGCAUAUCAUGUUGCAGGAUUCUUGACGGCGUGGCCUGAAUUCGAACUUCUCUUCUUGGCCAUUAAUGUUGAAGCGGAUUUCUCCGGCUCCCACAUCAAUUUGUGCUUUUGCCGUGCUCAAGGCCCAGGAUUAGUGGUGUCUCCUUGGUGAGUUCCAUAUUUAACACCACAAAAUCUACGGGGACGUAAUAUCCUCUGAUCUUGACAGGGAUGUCUUGGGCAAUCCCUGCUGGGUACCGAACUGACGAGUCCACCAACUGGAGUGUCAUGUUGGUUGGUUCCAAGUUGGUGAAGUUUAGCCUAUCAAAGACUGAUUUCGGCAUUGUUGGGUAUUCUUAACGCGGUAUUGAAAUAGGCAAUUGCUCUUCUAAAUAAAUAAUGAAUAGGAUCUGCAAGCGCACAGAUUAAUACCGAUGCAGCAUUUUAACCGGG
rnacentral:lncRNA from 1 species